rnacentral:lncRNA from 1 species
AUGGUCCCGCCUUAUUCGCCCCAGGGUGUGUGCCUCGCAAGUCCCCGCCUGGUGAACCGUCGCCAGCUCCGGUGCGCGGGAGAGGCGUUGGCGGGUCCGACCCCGGGGGUCCGCGGCCAGGCCGGACGCCGGGCGUCUGCCGAGCCAGGCCCGAGCCCAGCCCCGGCCCGGCGCGUCCCGCGGGCUCCGGGCACACGCCCCUCACCUGGGCGAGGCAGGGCGCGCAGGCGCUCAGCGCGGGGGCCGCGGCGGGAGCCUCAGCCCCGCGCCCGCCCGAGUUGGACAGUUCCGGGGCCGCACCCGGCCGAGCUGUCGCCGCCGCCGCCUGGGCUGCCGCAGACCGCGGGAGAGCGUCUGCGCGAAGCCCCAGCGCAGCCCCGGCGGGACCGCCGCCGCCGCCCGAGAGCGAGCAACAGCUUCUGGGCUGGAAGAGCCACUGCCCCCACGCACCAGCGGCCCGCGCGCGAAGAAAAACAAAAUCUAUAGAACCCCAGGGAGUGAUUGAGGGUUAGGUUUAACAUCUUCUCAUUGCAAGAUCGUGUUAUGAUGGAGCCCUGCAUCCAGCCUGACGCAGCCCUCCUAGAUGACCACUUCCUUCCUCAACGAUAAGAAAAGCUCACUGGUAACUUAAGGCAGCAAGGUUUGUUGAAGGUGAGUGAGUGGCGAAAAGAUAUACCUACCUGGAAAAUGAUAUCACCGAUCAAAUUAGAUGAGAACGGGAAUUAUGCAUAUGGGAGAUGGCAGUGUUAUAGGUCUUCUCCAGAGGUAAUUAUUUUGUCUUGUGGCAGUUUAUUUUCUAACACUAGGGGAAAAAAAUUAAAAGGCAACCUCUGAACUGUUCCUUCUGGCUAAUCGGGGUGGUUGUUGGAGAGGCCCUCCCUCCGCAGGAUGGAGUUUUUACUGUCUCUGGGGCGCGUGCUUAGUUGGGAAGGUGGUGCCGCACCGGAGGCCUCUCAGACUAGCCCAGUUCUUUCUGUCAGGUUCUUAUGAUGACACUAGGAGCACGAUUUCAGCACUGGUGAAGCCACUCUCAGCAGCCCAGCAUGAAGAAAGGCACGGAGCAGAAUCUCUGUGAGCCCCCCGCCCCACCCCCAUGACCGCUGUUUCCCAACCUCCUUUAGUGCCGGCUGGCGCCAGAAUAGGCGGCUUUUAACAGAGGUGGCGGCUGUCUGCAAACACUUGAAGGGAUGACGUGCACAGAGUAGAUUCAUUUUUCCAAAGUUCCAGCAGCCACGACCAGAUUCAGUGGGCAGGAUGGUAAGGAGGCAGGUUUGAAAUCAACACGGGAAGAACUUUCUAAGGAUUCCAACUGUCCCGUAAUGGCCUUGAAGUGUCAUGCUCGCUCCAGCUGUCAGUGUGCAGUGGGUGAGAAGACCAGCCACCAGAAACAACAACAACAAAAAAAUGGGAACGUCUUUGGUGGUCCAGUGGCUAAGACUCUGUGCUCCCGGUGCCGGGGGCAUGGGUUCGAUUCCUGGUCAAGGAA